CAAACUGGAGAUGGCGACCGGCGCACGGGUGAGUAACACGUAUCCAACCUGCCGAUAACUCGGGGAUAGCCUUUCGAAAGAAAGAUUAAUACCCGAUGGCAUAAUAGAACCGCAUGGUUGAUUAUUAAAGAAUUUCGGUUAUCGAUGGGGAUGCGUUCCAUUAGGUUGUUGGCGGGGUAACGGCCCACCAAGCCUUCGAUGGAUAGGGGUUCUGAGAGGAAGGUCCCCCACAUUGGAACUGAGACACGGUCCAAACUCCUACGGGAGGCAGCAUG
rnacentral:rRNA from 1 species